rnacentral:lncRNA from 1 species
UCUUUAAAUUAAAACCAAAUAAAUAAUAGGCUACUCUGUCUAUCUAAUAGUAGUAUUAAGACUUCCUGAAUCCUGACGUAGUUGUACUUGUGUUUAACCAUUAACCAACCACACUGAAUAAUAGUAGUAAAUUGCAAGGACAGCACGCGCCCACAAAGGCAUGAAUGCAUGUCGAACAUCUUCAUCCAUGAUCCAUGUAUAUAUGACGCUGUCGAUUAAGACAAAUAAACCCAAAGGCUGUGUGUGUUUGUUUACCUAACGUCAGAAAUCAAAUUAAUCAAUAGAGAUAGAGAGGAGACACACUUUGAAUAUGAACCCACUACUCCAUACCCUAUACAACACUAUAGGGGGCCUCAACCUACUUUUAUAGGCCAUACAAUUUUGUCAAUAGUUGAACCUUCAACUUCUAUUUUAGACCCCUCAAAACUUGCCGUCCAAAACGACAAACUAGCAUAUUCAUGCAUUAAUAUUAAUAUUUAGCUAGAAUAUUGUUUUUUCUCACACUAAUUUUUUAUUUUGAAUUUUUAUUUUUGAAGCUUAA